GUCAGAUCUGAAGCAGAAACUGGAGCAUACAGACGUGUCUGAAAUGGGUCGAUAGAUCUGAAACGAUGAACGGCCGAAUCUACUCCAAAUAGGUACUGACCGAACGAGUCUCGAAGCGGAAUUGGGCGUGAAGCGGACGGGUUUCGACCAACAGAUCUGCAGUGAAUCGGGCGUGAAUGAACAGGUCUGCUCCGAUCUGCACUGAAUCGGGCGUGAACAGUCGGAUCUGCUCCGAUCUGCACUGAAUUGGGCGUGAACGGUCGAAUCUGCUCGAUAGCACUGAAUUGGGCGUGAAGCGGACGGAUCGGGCGGAACUGAUGGAUCUGCCUGGGCGGAGCGGCGGAACUGCUGUCUGACGGACUUGCACGAUCGGAUGGUGUGCCUACUUCCUGCGAACGGACGGAUCCUCCGGCAAUGUGGGCAGGUCUGAUCUGAAUGAUUUAGACGGCAAGAGGAGGUUGGCUAGACCCUAGAUGCUAGGGCUCUGAUACCAUAUGAAGUUUAUUGUAUCUUCCUUAAUUACAGAGGUAAAUUAGA
rnacentral:misc_RNA from 1 species